UACGUAGGGGGCAAGCGUUGUCCGGAUUUAUUGGGCGUAAAGCGCGCGCAGGCGGUCAUUUAAGUCUGGUGUUUAAACCCGAGGCUCAACCUCGGGUCGCAUUGGAAACUGGGUGACUUGAGUGCAGAAGAGGAGAGUGGAAUUCCACGUGUAGCGGUGAAAUGCGUAGAGAUGUGGAGGAACACCAGUGGCGAAGGCGACUCUCUGGGCUGUAACUGACGCUGAGGCGCGAAAGCGUGGGGAGCAAACGGG
rnacentral:rRNA from 1 species